GACGAACGCUGGCGGCGUGCUUAACACAUGCAAGUCGAACGGAAAGGCCCUGCUUUUGUGGGGUGCUCGAGUGGCGAACGGGUGAGUAACACGUGAGUAACCUGCCCUUGACUUUGGGAUAACUUCAGGAAACUGGGGCUAAUACCGGAUAGGAGCUCCUGCUGCAUGGUGGGGGUUGGAAAGUUUCGGCGGUUGGGGAUGGACUCGCGGCUUAUCAGCUUGUGGUUGGGGUAGUGGCUUACCAAGGCUUUGACGGGUAGCCGGCCUGAGAGGGUGACCGGCCACAUUGGGACUAAGAUACGGCCCAGACUCCUACGGGAGGCAGCAGUGGGGAAUAUUGCACAAUGGGCGGAAGCCUGAUGCAGCAACGCCGCGUGCGGGAUGACGGCCUUCGGGUUGUAAACCGCUUUCGCCUGUGACGAAGCGUGAGUGACGGUAAUGGGUAAAGAAGCACCGGCUAACUACGUG
rnacentral:rRNA from 1 species